rnacentral:tRNA from 1 species
GGCAUCCUGGCUUAGUUGGUUAAAGUACCUGUCUAGUAAACAGGAGAUCACGAGUUUUAAUCUCGUCGGUGCUU